CCUACGGGAGGCUGCAGUGGGGAAUAUUGGACAAUGGGGGGAACCCUGAUCCAGCCAUGCCGCGUGUGUGAAGAAGGCCCUCGGGUUGUAAAGCACUUUCAGUGAGGAAGAACGCCUGGUGGUUAAUACCCAUCAGGAAAGACAUCACUCACAGAAGAAGCACCGGCUAACUCCGUGCCAGCAGCCGCGGUAAUACGGAGGGUGCGAGCGUUAAUCGGAAUUACUGGGCGUAAAGCGCGCGUAGGUGGCUUGAUAAGCCGGUUGUGAAAGCCCCGGGCUCAACCUGGGAACGGCAUCCGGAACUGUCAAGCUAGAGUGCAGGAGAGGAAGGUAGAAUUCCCGGUGUAGCGGUGAAAUGCAUAGAGAUCGGGAGGAAUACCAGUGGCGAAGGCGGCCUUCUGGACUGACACUGACACUGAGGUGCGAAAGCGUGGGUAGCAAACAGGAUUAGAUACCCUAGUAGUC
rnacentral:rRNA from 1 species